GUAAUAUUAUUUUAUCACUAUUUAUUGAUUCCAUCUUGAACAGAACAAAUUAAAGUAGAUUUAGUUUUUUUAUAAAUCUGCUCUUAAAUUAUAAAAAUUCCCAAACCUCAUAUCCACACUCUUCCAAACUUUUUUUUUUUGAGGUUUUUUAAUCUUACGAACCUUUGACAAACCUGUUGAGUCAUUAAUGCGUCUACCCAUUUGACAACGAGUUAGUAGACAUUAAAUGAACUCAACUUAAACCCUUUACUAACCAUGUUAGAUUGUUAGUAGACAUCAAUGAAUCUUCACCACCAUCAAUAACACUGAGUUCUCGUUGAUCAACUCUAUGAAAACUCUAUUCCUCCCUUCCAUCCUGUUGAAUUUUCUUGACACUACUUGAUAGAGCAUGCUAUUAACGAAGGAAUAUAUGAUUUUUUUUUGGAAAUACUUAUGGUGGUUGGGAUCCAUGUCACCAUGUGUAAAAUACCGUAACCUAAUAAUAAGGUUAAAUGGACGAAAUACCUUAACGGAAUUUUUUCAGAAUUUUUAAAAAUUUUCUGAGAAUUUUUCGGAUGCCGUAUGAUGUAGAUUAUGGGGAUAAAUAUUGGACUACGGAAAAGACUACCCCAUUUAAACGAGGAAAAUUUAAUUUUUCUUUUCUUUUUCUUUUCUUUUUUUCUCCGCCGCGUGCCCUAAGCCUCACCCGACGUCGUUUCCUUCUCCCCUCUCGCGAGGCCGAGCCUCCGAUCGCCACUCGUCUUCUCCUCUUCCCCAACCCUCGCGACAUUUCGCUUCCUUGGCUCUUCUUUUCCUUCUUCCCUUCCCCUCAUUUCCUCUCCCAAUCACUCCACUGUCGCCCUCUCCUGGAUCAUCGUCGAUGUGAAUUCCUCUCCCCGAAUCCAUAAUUCGCCGACCGUCUCGCUCGUGUGACUGUCGCGGCUCGACACCGGCAGCCUAGCCACCCGAGCACCACCCCAUCUUCCCCUAUCAGAGAAUCAUGCCCUAGCUUUGAUCCGCCGCCGCUGCGAGGGCUGCAACGAUCAUCGCUGGAGCGACCGGGCUUUCCUUUUCCUCUCUCGAUUGCAGUGAGCCACCGUGCCUAACCACUUCUCGCAACAGGUAUGAGUAGGGGCACGCUGUGAUGCCCUAGGUUUAAUGCUCACAACCUUCCUUCAUUUCUUUCACUAGUGACAACCGGAAUCUCUUCACUGGUUGCGAUAAUUCUAUUCCUUUGUGCUAGAUCUAUCCUUGGGGAUGUGCCAAAAUCUUGCUAUACAGAUCUGAGAUGUUUUAGGUCGGAGGACAGCAACAUCAGUUUGCUCCAGCCACUAUUUUUUCGACAGCAAGCACAUCCGGCAGUGACUCAACAAUCGGACAUUCAGGUUUGGGGCUUUUGAAAUUUGCUGUGGCAAUCUUGCUUCUACUGAGGACAUCAAGGAAGAGGUUGCUAAGGACUCUAAUUUGCGACGAGCCACCUUACGCGGGAUUACUUUUGGCACGCGCUAUAUUGGAGGCGGGUACCUUGACUUAUCUCUUUGAUAAUGUCAUGUUGAUAUGCGUAGUAGGUUAUAGCCUUUAGUAAUAAUUAUGUUUAUCUUAACUUUGGUAUGUCACUACAUGAAACAUGUUGUAUGCUUUUAUCUAUUCUACAUUUAUGUUUUAUACCCUCAUGUUUAUUGCCAUGAUUAUUUAUGCUCAUAGAGGUAGUGACAUACCAUGCCUUAUGAUACACCGAACUAGACAUUUACCAUAUCUGACCCAUGUACCUAGACCUGUUUAUUUGCUCCAUUUAUUUUUGGUACAUGUUUUAUGAAGGUAGAUAUAGUCAGUAUUUGCAUGCUUAGUGCCAUGCACCAUCUUACAUGAUUGUAUGUUGUGCGAUUGGUAGUCCCAUUAUUGUUGAGCUCAUCGCCAGUUUCAUGGAUCUGCACACACAACCACUCAUGGUUUAGUGGUAUAUCAGGCAGGGUG